UACGGGGGGAGCAAGCGUUGUUCGGAUUUACUGGGCGUAAAGGGCGCGUAGGCGGUCAGCACAAGUCAGUUGUGAAAUCUCCGGGCUUAACCCGGAAAGGUCAACUGAUACUGUGCGACUAGAGUGCGGAAGGGGCAACUGGAAUUCUCGGUGUAGCGGUGAAAUGCGUAGAUAUCGAGAGGAACACCUGCGGCGAAGGCGGGUUGCUGGGCCAUCACUGACGCUGAGACACGAAAGCGUGGGGAGCAAACGGG
rnacentral:rRNA from 1 species